UACGUAGGGUGCGAGCGUUGUCCGGAAUUACUGGGCGUAAAGAGCUCGUAGGUGGUUUGUCGCGUUGUUCGUGAAAACCGGGGGCUUAACCCUCGGCGUGCGGGCGAUACGGGCAGACUGGAGUACUGCAGGGGAGACUGGAGUUCCUGGUGUAGCGGUGAAAUGCGCAGAUAUCAGGAGGAACACCGGUGGCGAAGGCGGUGGUCUGGGCCGGCACUGACGCUGAGGAGCGAAAGCGUGGGUAGCAAACAGG
rnacentral:rRNA from 1 species